AUGGUUGGCAAAGCUGAAACUUAAAGGAAUUGACGGAAGGGCACCACCAGGAGUGGAGCCUGCGGCUUAAUUCGACUCAACACGGGGCAACUCACCCGGACCGGACAUCGCAAGGAUUGACAGACUGAGGGUUCUUUCUUGAUUCGGUGGUUGGUGGUGCAUGGCCGUUCUUAGUUGGUGGAGCGAUCUGUCUGGUUGAUUCUGAUAACGAGCGAGACCCUAGCCUACUUCUUCCACGCUCAACCGGUGAAUCUGUUGGCAACACAAGUGACUCAGAGGUACGGGCGGCGUUGUGAGCCGCACGAGAUAGGGCCAUAACAGGUCUGUGAUGCCCUUAGAUGUCCGGGGCCGCACGCGUGCUACACUGAAAGCGGCAGCGAGCCUGCCAGGGUCCUCUGAGAGGGACGGACCGAAACUAAUGCAACGCUAUCGUGCUAGGAACAGGGGCUUGAAACUGUAUCUCUCGAACGAGGAAUUCCGAGUAAGUGCGGGUCACCAGCCUGCGUUGAUUACGUCCCUGCCCUUUGUACACACCGCCCGUCGCUACUACCGAUCGAACGGCCUAGCAAGUGGGUCUCGACUGGCCCCGGUCCCC
rnacentral:rRNA from 1 species